AGUUUCACCUUCAGACAAAGGCCAAGCCACGGGCUGAUAACUUUUCUGGAUUUAAGACCUGAACUCUAGAGCAGUAUCUGCUCUGCUGACAGAAGUCUAAGGCAAGAGUUUCAGAAGCAAUUCUGAAGUAAAAGCAGAUGUAGGAAUGUGCAUGCACAUUACAGAUUAUGAAGAACUCUGAAUAUGGAAUUGUAAGCCAGAUUUAACGCAUACUCCUAGAAGAUGAUGAGCUUAGGAUUUAUAAGGAAAAGACUUUCCUACCAGGAGGACAGUCAAGCAGUAGACCAGCUGCCCAGAGGAGCUGUGCAGUCUCUGUCUCUGGAGGUUUCUAAGACCCGACUGGAAAAAACCUUGAGCAACCUGGUUUGACCUCAUACCUGACCCUGUUCUGAGCAAGAGGCUGAACUACAUGACAUCCUGAGGUUCCU